UGGCAGUGUGGUUAGCUGGUUUGUGUGCCACGCCAACAACCACUAUCUGCACUCCCAUG
rnacentral:pre_miRNA from 1 species